AGAAACCUGGGAAGAAAACACAACAGUUCGCGUCAAUAGUAAGAGAGGUGUUGAACAGAAGCAGAGCCCUGGAGCGUGAGGACAGACAUUGACCGCAAUGAAGGACGUGUGCUGAAGGACGGGACUCAUUUUCAAUGAUGCCAACCUUCCUUUUUCGUGUUCAGACUGAAGUACAUUAAAGUGGAUCUGUUUUGUCUUUU